rnacentral:rRNA from 1 species
AGCAGCCGCGGUAAUUCCAGCUCCAAUAGCGUAUAUUAAAGUUGUUGCAGUUAAAAAGCUCGUAGUUGAAUUUCGGGAUCAAGGAAUCGGUCAUGCCUCGGUAUGUACUGGUUUUAUUGGUUCUCACCUUCUAAAGAACCAUAAUGUCAUUCAUUUGAUGUUAUGGGGAAUUAGGACUGUUACCUUGAAAAAUUAGAGUGUUUAAAGCAGGCUUACGCUUGAAUACAUUAGCAUGGAAUAAUGAAAUAGGACAUCAGAUUCUAUUUUGUUGGUUUCUAGGAUCGAUGUAAUGAUUAAUAGGGAUAGUUGGGGGCAUUAGUAUUCAAUUGUCAGAGGUGAAAUUCUUGGAUUUAUUGAAGACUAACUACUGCGAAAGCAUUUGCCAAGGAUGUUUUCAUUAAUCAAGAACGAAAGUUAGGGGAUCGAAGACGAUCAGAUACCGUCGUAGUCUUAACCAUAAACUAUACCGACUAGGGAUCGGAUGAUGUUAAUUUUUAAUGUACCCA